rnacentral:tRNA from 1 species
GAUAAAGAAGGGAAUUAAACCCCUGUCAGUAGGACUACAGCCUACCGCCUAGCCCUCGGCCACUCUACC